AAACACACACUCUCUCUCUCUCUUUUUCUCCCUCUUUCUCUCUCGACGUAACCGGGACUAGCGAGAAGCACCCUCCUCGGCGCCGUCCCUUCGGAGAGGCUAGAAACGUAUCGGGGACGACGACGGUCGCCGUCGACGAGCACAGGUCGACGGGCAACCUUGUCUCGACCAGCUGGAUCGACGAUUGCACCCGGCGAUCGGGCUCCGGACGUUUCCGCGACAAUUUUCAUCAUCCCCGAGGACGAUUUCCGAAGCCGCUGAAGCGGCGUCCUUCGCCGCGAGCGGACUCCUCGCGCGACCCUUAGAGGCUCGGUCGGUCCGCUUCGUUGGAAGAGAGACGCCUCGGGGUUAAAUUCGCCUCGAUUCGAUCACGAAGUGGCUCGUGCUUUCGUUGAAAUCGCAACGGGGGUGGUGGUGAUUUCGUUUCAUUUCGUUUGAUCUCGUUUCGUUUCGUUUCGUUUUAUUUCGUUUUGUGCGUAACUCUGACGUGUCCGCCGCGGACGCAGCCCGCAACGCGGCCUGAUUGGCUUCGCCGUCGCGGCGAGGUUAAAUAUUUAAUGAUCGGUGGUGCUCCGCUAAAGGUUUCCCAAGCCGAUGCCGCGAAGACGAGUCGCACGGUCCUUGGAGACGCGGACGAAUCGCAGGAUCUCGGAUGCGGACGCGUCCGAUCGAUUUAUCGGCGACGCUAAAUGCGGACGGACGGACGGACGUGGCUCGAUCGUGGGAAUCUAAGGGAAUUGUUUGUUCGAACUAUCGGGGACACGGUCGAAGAUCGUGUUCAGACCGAUCCGAUAUAAAUAGCAGACGCGAGCGUGUCCGCAGGAUCUCGCGCAAGGGAUGAAACUUGUUCGUGCGCGAACGCGAACGCAGAGGAUCGAAGGUUUUCGUUUCUCCGGAGUCUUGAAUGUGUUCGACAAUGCACGGAUACGCGUUCUCUCGCGUUGCAUCGCUCUCGCUCGGCGUGUUGCGCCUUUCCGAAGGAGAUCAGGGGGGUUGUUAGCCAUGGUCGCGGCGGGGAAGAUGCACCGCGGAGGCGCGGUCGAUGCUGUUCCCUCGUCUGCGAAAGAAAUCUGACGCGGAGAGAUGCGGUUCGCGAGGAAUUUCUUUUUUUGGGUGGUUUUCGGGGCGGCUGGGAGUAUUUUUGGUUUCGGGAAAAUUUCGGUGGCUGGGAAAAUCGCUCGGACGAGCAUUCAGUGUUUAGCACUCGACAGUUUAUUUUCUGGAGAAUUUUGCGUGAUCGGAUGGAGUCGGAUGACGUAAAUAAAGUUAGGAGAAUCGAGAUGUGUCAAGGAUAGACUUCGUUUGCCAGCGAGAAUCGCGAAGCUUGGUUUCGUUGUAAGAGAAACGAUUUUUCGCAGGAGGCGGUCAAGAAAAUCACUAUUAUUAGUCAUACGGACGGUAAUGUGUUAACAGACGGAUCCAGUCCGCGCUAUUAGCGAACCCGUUGCGCUUUCAUCGUUAAUUAUCCGAUCGAGCGGCCUCGUUCCUUCGACACCGUUGAAUUAUCUUCGACGAAGUACGCUGGAAAUAAGAAAACACUGUUCUCGCGCGAAUAUCACUGUAUUUCUUUGGAGUUAUUUAACGCGGCGAGUGCCGCGUGGGCGCGUUAGGGCGACACUAAAUUUUGAUCAGUUUUCAAAAUUCGUUUUUUCUUAAUUAAAUUGCUUUGAACUUUUUGAGGCUGACUUCCCAGAUUUCCUUUUUUUUCUGUUUAGAGCAAUUUUAUUCUCUCUUGAGAUUAUUUUGUGUUUUGA